rnacentral:tRNA from 1 species
GGUUCUGUAGUGUAGCGGUUAUCACGUCGCCCUGUCACGGCGAAGAUACGCGGGUUCGAUUCCCGUCAGAACCG